GGCUACCAUGCAGUCGAACGGCAGCACAGAGGAGCUUGCUCCUUGGGUGACGAGUGGCGGACGGGUGAGGAAUGCCUGGGGAUCUGCCCGAUGGAGGGGGAUAACUUCUGGAAACGGUAGCUAAUACCGCAUAGCGUCGCAAGACCAAAGUGGGGGACCUUCGGGCCUCACACCAUCGGAUGAACCCAGAUGGGAUUAGCUAGUUGGUGGGGUAACGGCUCACCUAGGCGACGAUCCCUAGCUGGUCUGAGAGGAUGACCAGCCACACUGGAACUGAGACACGGUCCAGACUCCUACGGGAGGCAGCAGUGGGGAAUAUUGCACAAUCAGUUCGCAGGCGUGGUGCAUGCAGCAUGCCGGGUGUAUGAAGAGGGCCUGCGGGUUGUAAGGUACUUUCAGCAGGGAGGAGGGCCGUGAGGUUAGUUACCUCAAUCGAAUCGGAUCGUCACCCGCAGGAGAAGGCACCCAGCUAACUACGUCCCUAGCAGCAGCCGUCAGUAAUACGGAGGGUUGCAAGCGUCAGUCAGUAACUACUGGGCGUAAAGCGCACGCAGGUCGGUCUGUCAAGGUCGGAUGUGAAAUCCCCUGGGCUUAACCUGGGAACUGCAUUCGAAUACUGGCAGGCUAGAGUCUCGUAGAGGGGGAGUAGAAUUCCAGGUGUAGCGGUGAAAUGCGUAGAGAUCUAGGAGGAAUGCUCGGAUGGCGAAAGCGGCCCGCCUGGACGGAAGACUGACGCUCAGGUACGAAAGCGUGGGGAGCAAACAGGAUUAGAUACCCUGGUAGUCCACGCCCUAAACGAUGUCGACUUGGAGGUUGUGCCCUUGAGGCGUGGCUUCGGAGCUAACGCGUUAAGUCGACCGCCCCGGGGGAGUACACGGCCGCAAAGUUAAAACUCAGAUGAAUUGGACACGGGGCCCCGCACAAGCGGUGGGAGCAUGUGGUUUAAUUCGAUGCAACGCGGAGAAUCCUUACCUGCCUUGACAUCCGACGAAAUUCUUGGCAGAGAUGCGUUAGUGCCUUCCGGAACCGUGAGACAGGUGCUGCAUGGCUGUCGUCAGCUCGGCUCGUGAAAUGUUGGGUUAAGUCCCACAACGAGCGCUACCAUUUGCCUGAUGCACCCAUCGAUUCGGUCGGGAACUCAAAGGAGACGCCCGGUGAUAAACCGGAGGAAGGUGGGGAGGACGUCAAGUCAUCAUGGCCCUUACGCCCAGGGCUGCGCACGUGCUGCAAUGGCGCAUACAAAGAGAAGCGACCUCGCGAGAGCAAGCGGACCUCAUAAACUGGGUCGUAGUCCGGAUGGGAUUCUGCAACUCGACUCCAUGAAGUCGGAAUCGCUAGUAAUCGUAGAUCACAAUGCUACGGUGAAUACGUUCCCGGGCCUUGUACACACCGCCCGUCACACCAUGGGAGUGGGUGCGACAAGAAGCUAGGUAGCUAACCUCGGAGGCGCUACCAC
rnacentral:rRNA from 1 species